rnacentral:tRNA from 3 species
GGAGAAGUACUCAAGUUGGCCGAAGAGGCGCCCCUGCUAAGGGUGUAGGUCGGGAAACCGGCGCGAGGGUUCAAAUCCCUCCUUCUCCGCCA